UCAUAAAAACCAUUUUCAACCGGUGAAACAAAAACUUACAAGAUUCACUGAUACGGAUCUUACCUUUUCUUCUUUCUCCCUUCGCGACUUCUGAUACGAGAGUUUGCACCUAAUUGCAUCGUAUCACAUCGCCUCACUGUUUCGACCUAAUUGCAUCACAUCGCAUCACCAUUUUGACCUAAUUUCAUCGCAUCGCUGUAUCAACCUGAUCGGACAUGAAAGCAUUCACACUGAUACGUACACCGCAGUCAUAUCCCCAUUCGUCUCUCCUUUUCCGUUCAUCGCAUUUACCAUUUCUGGUCAUUGCGUUUCUGGUUCAAUAUGUGUACGAUUUAAAAGGUGAAUUAAAUCAGCUUUAUCUUCCUCUUCACCUUUCUCAACCAUGGUAUUGACUCAAGGCUAUAAGUUGCUGCAAAAUUUGGUAAAUAAAAAGGACUUCUUUGUUUUGUCAAUUUGUUUACUUUCUGUUGGGCUUUAAUCAGGGGUAGUUAUGUCAUUUUUACUACAUUGUUCGCAUAUUCACUCCUGUAGGGUUGAAAGAAUAUAUGAUGCCAUUCGAGGAAGUAUAGUGAAAAGAGACAUCUACCUUGACUUUCAAUUGAAAAAAACUGUCACUUGUUAUGUAAUAAGUUACUGCUCUUACAUGAAUUCUAAAAGAAGUUGGAAGCCCUGAACUGGAGAGUGGUGCUGUUAAUGCUGCUCUAGAUCUUUAUGAUGUCAUUGCAUUCCAUUGUCUAUUCCAAAUUUCCAUUCCAUCAUUUUCUCAUACACCUUCAAACUCUUUACACGUUAUCCACUGUAAGGCCGGAAUGGCAAGAAUAGGCUUAAUGAUUUCAAAUAUUCUUUUAUAUCUCGAGGUAACAUCAAUUGUUCAAUUUACUAAACUACCCCUGAUACAAACUCUAUAUUAAGUGUCACUUCUUCUUGCAGCUUUUCCCUACCGUUGUAGAGUCUGUAUCAUAUUAUAACCAAAAAAUGUGUUGAUGGAAAAGGAUUUGUUCUCCCAAGUCAAAUAGUAAAUCAUUUUAUUAUUUUACGAUUUUUUUAAUUUCAUUUAUAUAAUGAAUUUUUUCACAAAAAAGACGAACAACUUUUGGUACUUAGGUUUUCAACAUGGAAAGAAAUAGCAACAUGCUUUCAUUUAUGUGUAUUACAACAUUGUACCUUCAUUUUUGUUCUUAUACAGACAUCAUAAUUUAUAAAGACACAAUUAUAGCAUGUGUUUAUCUUAUUAAGACCUUAUACGUUGAAAUUACCACAUAAACUUGCUUUGUAUUGGGAUAAGAUUGCUAUAAAUUUAUUUAUUUUAAUAAACAAAUGUAUAAAAUUUCAUUGCUACUUCUUGCAGUUAACCAUUUCUAAUAUCAUAUUCUUGCAGGCUGUGGGAUAGCUUUUUCCCAGAUGCUUCAAUCACAGGUCUGAACUCAGCAGUGAGCAGCAGGUCCAACACCGCCAACUCCAAAAUCGGUAGUGGAAUUAAUGCACUUGAUGUGUUUCUUCAACUUCCUCAUAAGCAAUAUAACACAGGCUGGGUUCUCUCUCAGGUGGGAAAAGCUCAUUUUGAAUUGGUUGAUUAUCUAGAAGCUGAGCGUGCCUUUAGCAAUGCCAGAUUGGCUUCUCCUUAUAGCUUAGAUAUCACCUGAAGGAGGAUAUGUGGUUAAGUUAUUUGGCACAAGAGCUAAUAUCAACGGAUCACUUAGCCCCUCAAUCAUGGAGUCUGAAAAGUAUUCCAUAAGGACGCCCAACAAAUGGAACUUUUCAUUUGAUUCCAUGUAUAAUUUAGGUGGGAAAUCAUCUCUUCUUAUAUGAAGAUUUAUUUGGUUAUUGUUGUUGUAUUAUAAACAUUUAUAGCAUGUGCCUUGUCUUUUGUCUAAUUGGAUAUUAUUAUAUUUCUUUUUAAAAAUGACAUUUAAUAUUUCAAUAAUUUCAUAAUUAUUGACCC